rnacentral:rRNA from 1 species
AAGGCUUUUGGCAAAGGAUUUUUUGGGUUUUGCAUUGGUGGAGGAAGGAAGGGAAUUGGAUAAUUGGGGUGAAUUGCAAGAUUCCGGGAACCAAUGAAUUUUUGAACGCCAAGUGGGCCCGGAGUUUUUUAGGCCGAGGGCCAGUUUGCCUUGGGGUUC